rnacentral:rRNA from 1 species
UACGAAGGUGGCAAGCGUUGUUCGGAUUUACUGGGCGUACAGGGAGCGUAGGCGGUUGGGUAAGCCCUUCGUCAAAUCCCAGGGCUUAACCCUGGACAGGCGGUGGAAACUACCAAGCUGGAGUACGGUAGGGGCAGAGGGAAUUUCCGGUGGAGCGGUGAAAUGCGUAGAGAUCGGAAAGAACACCAACGGCGGAGGCACUCUGCUGGGCCGACACUGACACUGAGAGACGAAAGCUAGGGGAGCAAAUGGG